rnacentral:rRNA from 1 species
CCCCUGUGAACAUACCUUAAUGUUGCCUCGGCGGAUCAGCCCGCGCCCCGUAAAACGGGACGGCCCGCCAGAGGACCCAAACUCUAAUGUUUCUUAUUGUAACUUCUGAGUAAAACAAACAAAUAAAUCAAAACUUUCAACAACGGAUCUCUUGGUUCUGGCAUCGAUGAAGAACGCAGCAAAAUGCGAUAAGUAAUGUGAAUUGCAGAAUUCAGUGAAUCAUCGAAUCUUUGAACGCACAUUGCGCCCGCUGGUAUUCCGGCGGGCAUGCCUGUUCGAGCGUCAUUUCAACCCUCAAGCCCUCGGGUUUGGUGUUGGGGAUCGGCUCUGCCUUCUGGCGGUGCCGCCCCCGAAAUACAUUGGCGGUCUCGCUGCAGCCUCCAUUGCGUAGUAGCUAACACCUCGCAACUGGAACGCGGCGCGGCCAUGCCGUAAAACCCCAACUUCUGAAUGUUGACCUCGGAUCAGGUAGGAAUACCCGCUGAACUUAAGCAUAUCAAUAGGCCGGAGGAA